GGAGUGCUUCAUUGGCUGCCCGUGGGUUAUCUCUGUGUCUGGAGCAUAGAUAUUUUCAUUUCAUUAAAUGUUUCUCGUUGUCAUUUGUCGAUUGUUCACUCUCUUCUAUUUUCUUAUAGCUUUCAAGGUACGAUUUUAUUAUUGUGUUUAAUACGGGACAGUACUACGGCCUUAAUUGAUGUCCUCGUCCACGCCUGCCUUGACACGGAUAUGGACUUUGAGAGCUAGAAGAACUCUCUUAUGAUGUUGAUAAUUCCACCAACUUGGUGCUGAGUUCUUUCUCACCAUUGGACGAGCUCCAUGAUAACGAAUUAGGUUUCCAUUUCAUAGAGGCUCUUAUACCAUGUAAACUUCGAAACAUUUAGAGAACUUGUUAUUGUAUAACACACGUACACAAUGCUAUAAGUCGUUAUACCAUAUUUG
rnacentral:misc_RNA from 1 species